AAUGGCGGUAAUUUUGAAAAAAAAAUUGAGCUGUGUGUCUGUAGAUGUCAAGUGGACAGUGGUGACUGGUGAUUUCUUAUACUUCUUGAGAGUUUUCUGUUUUGAAUAAGUCUACCUUAUGUGCUUUGAAUAAACUUAGAAUCCCAAGUGGAGGAAAACAUAACAAAGCUGAUGCUGUGGAAAUAAUGAGAUCUGUAGGCCAUGGUCUUUUGUUACCAUUCAUAUUGUUAACUUUGACCUCUGUUGACGUUUCAUCCAUAAUGGAACGAAUCUGCACAAGCUCUACCUAAACAGGUAUUUACGUCACUGGACCGUUUUCCCAUCUGUUUUUGUGGGGUUAUGAAGCAGAACUACGUUUUUCAUGUAAUACAUCACCUUUUGCGUUUAACCGACAUCAAACGUGAAUUAUGCGUGAAACCUUCAGAGGUAGAAGAACCAUAUCGCUAGGUAUUUAUUUCUUCUCUAUGCUAGUUUUAGUUGUCUCAUUUUGCCUCAUUUUUUAAACAUUUUGAAGGUCGGUAGUAAAAUGAAUUAAACGGUUAUUUUCUGACAUUUACAUAGCAUGACUAAAUUUGCCUAGACUAGACUGUUAAUAUGUUUGGAUCUUCAAAAGCACAUUUUUUCUUCAAACUUUAACUAAUUCAUAAAUCAACAGAUUAUAUCGUUAAUUUUGAAA